ensembl:lncRNA
AAAAGAUUUAAGUGCCUUUGAAUGAGGUAUGGUAGUAGGGGCCAGGCGGUAGUAGUAGUAGUAUGGUAGUAGGGGCCAGGCGGUAGUAGUAGUAUGGUAGUAGGGGCCAGGCGGUAGUAGUAGUAUGGUAGUAGGGGCCAGGCGGUAGUAGUAGUAGUAUGGUAGUAGGGGACCAGGGUAGUAGUAGUAGUAUGGUAGUAGGGCCAGGCGGUAGUAGUAGUAUGGUAGUAGUAGUAGUAUGGUAGUAGUAGGGGCCAGGCGGUAGUAGUAGUAGUAUGGUAGUAGGGGCCAGGCGGUAGUAGUAGUAUGGUAGUAGGGGCCAGGCGGUAGUAGUAGUAUGGUAGUAGGGGCCAGGCGGUAGUAGUAGUAGUAUGGUAGUAGGGGCCAGGCGGUAGUAGUAUAUGGUAGUAGGGGCCAGGCGGUAGUAGUAGUAUGGUAGUAGUAGUAGUAGUAUGGUAGUAGGGGCCAGGCGGUAGUAGUAGUAGUAUGGUAGUAGGGGCCAGGCG